GACGGAGGGUCCUAGCGUUGUUCGGAAUUAUUGGGUGUAAAGGGCGCGUAGGCGGCCGUUCACGUCGGAUGUGAAAGCCCGGGGCUCAACCCCGGAACGGCAUCCGAUACGGGGCGGCUUGAGACCGGGAGAGGAGGGUGGAAUAGCCAGUGUAGAGGUGAAAUUCGUAGAUAUUGGCUGGAACACCGGUGGCGAAAGCGGCUCUCUGGUCCGGAUCUGACGCUGAGGCGCGAAAGCGUGGGGAGCAAACAGG
rnacentral:rRNA from 1 species